rnacentral:tRNA from 1 species
GCGGGUGUGAUGUAAUGGUAGCCUGUGACCUUCCCAAGGUCGACGCGCGGGUUCGAUUCCCGCCACCCGCUCCA